rnacentral:rRNA from 1 species
CAAUAGCGUAUAUUAAAGUUGUUGCAGUUAAAAAGCUCGUAGUUGGAUUUGUGGUUCGUCCCGCCGGCUGGGUCAUUGACUUUUGCUGUGCUGGUCGUCCAUCCUUGGGUGGAAUCUGUGUGGCAUUAGGUUGUCGCGCAGGGGAGGCCCAUCGUUUACUGUGAAAAAAUUAGAGUGUUCAAAGCAGGCUUAUGCCGUUGAAUAUAUUAGCAUGGAAUAAUGAUAUAGGACCUUGGUACUAUUUUGUUGGUUUGCGCACUGAGGUAAUGAUUAAUAGGGACAGUUGGGGGUAUUCGUAUUCCAUUGUAAGAGGUGAAAUUCUUGGAUUUUUGGAAGACGAACUACUGCGAAAGCAUUUACCAAGGAUGUUUUCAUUAA